AUUCUACAGUGAGAAGAGGAGCGCCGUCUUCCGGAGUAUAGCGAUCGCGGAGCAGAGCACAGCGCCCCCUCGUGGUGUAGAGAGGGGGGAGAGAGAGGGGAAAACAACCUCCCUCGCUGCCGCAGAUCUGAGUCCCGGCUAUUAAGGGCCGAUAUGAUAGAGAAGCCAAGGCAAUCACGGGUCGCAGCUUUGUCCAAUGAGAAAAAGUUUUUUUAGAAUCGUGGGACAUGAAAUUGAAGGCAAUAUUAUUUUUGUUGCGGCAAAAAGCUAAAUUUUUCACAGAAUAAGAUUCUCCCGAAUUACAUACCUAUUACAUGGAAUCUGACAACUGGACAAGGUAAAUGGAUUCUCUAUGCCUUUACUAGGGCCAAAAACUAAUAUUGAAAAGAUAAAUAUAAGGCCCCAUUUAUUCAAAGAAUUGAAAACCUGAUUGUGCUUGUCAGCAGCUUGCCUAUUGACAUAACUUUUUAUGGACAAAUAUAAUGAAAUAUGGAACUCAUUUAUAUAAAAUACAGUAGAUUAAAAAGAAUGAUAAUCUUAUAUUAUGGUAGAAGUAAAUAUACACACACUUGAAUAAUACUUAAUUAGAUAAAUAUCUAGAGAAUUGUAACCAUUAAUUGUUAUAACAAUAUAUUAUACUUUAUUUCUUCAUCUUUUUUAAAAAAAGUACUUUUAUGUAUUUUCUUCUCUUAAGAAUGUUUCAUAGUAUCAUAACUAAUAUAAGAAUGUCUUGACCUAAUGUUCGGGUUCUUGGGAAGUUUUGGAGUACAUAAGAAGAUUUAUUUAUUAAAUUUAUAUACUAACCAUCUCACUGUUUGGACUGACUCUAAGACUCUAGAUUGUCAAGAUACAUCACCAGGAAAUUAUACAGCAAAUUAUUUAAUCCAAUUGUGCCCAUAAAUGGAUCAGAAAUUAGAUCUUACUGACUUCUCUGCCCCUAGUAUAGGCAAUUAGACUGUCUAUUGGUAAUAUCAAGGAUUUCAAACACUGAAUGCAUUUUUUUUUCUUGUAAAAACAGUAAAGUUUCUAAGUAAAGUAACUUACUCCAAGAGGUAAAGAAUUGCUCUUGGGCUGGUCAGUAAAUUAAUCAACCACUCUUCUCAUGAGCAGUCAUCUGUACUCCUCACCUUGUAGCUGAAGAAACAACAGGCUUUGAGCUAAAAAUCAGCAACAGUCUCUGAAUUUCAGAACCUUUAUUUAACCAGCCUUGAAAUUCAUAUCCUCUUUUGGAAUGCUAGAAGGAAGAGUAUUCUAUCAUUUAUGGAUAGCCAGCAACCACUGAGGACAGAAACUGAAGAUCUGCUUUUCCAUAUGAAACAGAGGAGGAAUUUUUAGACCAGCCAGGAUAUAAUUACCUAUGUUGGAAGAGAGCCAAGAUCACAUAAGCUUAGCAACAGCAAAGUCCUAACGGUGCAAAGGGGAUUGAGGGAAGCUGAAAAGAAAAACAUAACAAUGCAAGAGGGAUGUUUUUACCAUAUGAGUAGCAAAAGCUGCUAGUAACCAAAUAUAUACUUUCAAGGUCUAAAAUACGAGAAAAUUGAUCAAAGUCAAGGGGAGGGUGAGCCUUCUGUACAGAGUUAGUAGUGAUGAGGAGUCUAUGGAACUGAUUAAGAAAUCAUGAAGAUGUGUUUUUUACUGAAUCUGCAAAAGCUAUGCUCAGUUCAUACUGAGUGGGGUUUAUGAAUAAGAGUUUUAAACAUUAAAAUCUGUUCUUGAUUGUGUGAUAGAUGAUAGACAGACAGACAGACAGACAGACAGACAGACAGACAGAUACAUUUUAAUUCCUGCUCAGGAAUUAACAUAUAUUACAAUACUGAUGUAUAUUUAUUCCUUUCAAUUCCUGUUCAGGAGAUAACAUGUUACUGACAUACAAUAAAAUAACAUGUAUCAAAAA